CCUGGGAGGGGUGGAAAGAAAACUGGGUGCCUUUUGGGAGCGCAGAGAACAGGUGCUGCAUGGCUGUGUCAGCUUGGGUUGGAAAUUGGUUAAGUCCCGUAGAGAGCCCAACCCUUGUCCUUUUUGCCAGCACGUAUGGUGGGAGCUUUAAGGAGACUUCCGGUGACAAACCGGAGGAAAGGGGGGAGGACGUCAAGUCAUCAUGGCCCUUAAGAAGAGGGCUACACACGUGCUACAAUGGCCGGUACAAAGGGCAGCGAGCUCGCGAGAGUCAGCGAAUCCCUUAAAACCGGUCUCAGUCCGGAUCGGAGUUUGCAACUCGACUCCGUGAAGUCGGAAUCGCUAGUAAUCGUGCAUCAGAAUGGCACGGUGAAUACGUUCCCGGGCCUUGUACACACCGCCCGU
rnacentral:rRNA from 1 species